rnacentral:tRNA from 3 species
GUCGAAUCCCUCUCUUUCC